AUUGAACGCUGGCGGCAGGCCUAACACAUGCAGGUCGAGCGGUAGCACAGAGAGCUUGCUCUCGGGUGACGAGUGGCGGACGGGUGAGUAAUGUCUGGGAAACUGCCUGAUGGAGGGGGAUAACUACUGGAAACGGUAGCUAAUACCGCACAACGUCGCAAGACCAAAGAGGGGGACCGUCGGGCCUCUUGCCAUCAGAUGUGCCCAGAUGGGAUUAGCUAGUAGGUGGGGUAACGGCUCACCUAGGCGACGAUCCCUAGCUGGUCUGAGAGGAUGACCAGCCACACUGGAACUGAGACACGGUCCAGACUCCUACGGGAGGCAGCAGUGGGGAAUAUUGCACAAUGGGCGCAAGCCUGAUGCAGCCAUGCCGCGUGUAUGAAGAAGGCCUUCGGGUUGUAAAGUACUUUCAGCGGGGAGGAAGGCGAUAAGGUUAAUAACCUUGUCGAUUGACGUUACCCGCAGAAGAAGCACCGGCUAACUCCGUGCCAGCAGCCGCCGUAACAC
rnacentral:rRNA from 1 species